ACUGGGCGCUGUGGAGCGUGCCUGUAGUCCCAGCUACUCGGGAGCCUGAGGUGGGAGGAUCGCUUGAGCCCAGGAGUUCUGGGCUGUAGUGCACUAUGCUGAUUGGGUGUCCACACUAAGUUCAGCAUCAAUGUGGUGACUUCCCGGGAGUGGGGGACCACCAGGUUGCCUAAGGAAGGGUGAACCGGCCCAGGUCAGAAACGAAGCAGGUGAAAACUCCCAUGCUGAUCAGCAGUGGGAUUGCACCUGUGAAUAGCCACUGCACUCCAGCCUGGGCAACAUAGUGAGACCCCUGACCUCU
rnacentral:SRP_RNA from 1 species